CCUGCGGAAGGAUCAUUAUUGAAUGAACUUGGUGUGGUUGUUGCUGGCCCUCUCGGGGGCAUGUGCACACCCAUCAUCCUCAUCUCUCCACCUGUGCACCUCUUGUAGACCUGGAUUGACUUUCCGGGCAACUCGGUCGGGAAGAUUGCUGCGCUCUGUGAGCCAGCUUUCUUUGCAUGUCCAGGACUAUGUUUUUUCAUAUACCCCUAUAGAAUGUAACAGAAUGUAUCAUUGGGCCUUGUGCCUAUAAACCUUAUACAACUUUCAGCAACGGAUCUCUUGGCUCUCGCAUCGAUGAAGAACGCAGCGAAAUGCGAUAAGUAAUGUGAAUUGCAGAAUUCAGUGAAUCAUCGAAUCUUUGAACGCACCUUGCGCUCCUUGGUAUUCCGAGGAGCAUGCCUGUUUGAGUGUCAUUAAAUUCUCAACCUUAUUAACUUUUGUUGAUAAUGGAUUGGAUAUGGGGGUUUCUUUUGCUGGCUUCUUCACAGAGAUCAGCUCCCCUUAAAUGCAUUAGCUGGUGACCCGCGUGGACCAUCUAUUGGUGUGAUAAUUAUCUACGCCGUGGAUGUCUGCAAUCAAUAUGGGUUUUGCACUGCUUCUAACCGUCUGUUCAUUCGGACAAUACAUGACAAUUUGACCUCAAAUCAGGUAGGACUACCCGCUGAACUUAA
rnacentral:rRNA from 1 species